rnacentral:rRNA from 1 species
AUUGAACGCUGGCGGCAGGCCUAACACAUGCAAGUCGAACGGUAACAGGAAGCCUCUUGCUGCUUUGCUGACGAGUGGCGGACGGGUGAGUAAUGUCUGCGAAACUGCCUGAUGGAGGGGGAUAACUACUGGAAACGGUAGCUCAUACCGCAUAACGUCGCAGGACCAAAGAGGGGGACCUUCGUGCCUCUUGCCAUCUGAUGUGCCCAGGUGGGAUUAGCUAGUAGGUGGGGUAACGGCUCACCUAGGCGACGAUCCCUAGCUGGUCUGAGAGGAUGACCAGCCACACUGGAACUGAGACACGGUCCAGACUCCUACGGGAGGCAGCAGUGGGGAAUAUUGCACAAAGGGCGCAAGCCUGAUGCAGCAAUGCCGCGUGUAUGAAGAAGGCCUUCGGGUUGUAAAGUACUUUCGGCGGGGAGGAAGGGAGUAAAGUUAAUACCGUUGCUCAUUGACGUUACCCGCAGAAGAAGCACCGGCUAACUCCGUG